rnacentral:rRNA from 1 species
UACGGGGGGGGCAAGCGUUGUUCGGAUUUACUGGGCGUACAGGGAGCGUAGGCGGUUGGAUAAGCCCUCCGUGAAAUCUCCAGGCUUAACCUGGAAAGUGCAGAGGGGACUGUUCAGCUAGAGGAUGGGAGAGGAGCGCGGAAUUCCCGGUGUAGCGGUGAAAUGCGAUAGAAUAUCAAGAGGAACACCUGCGGCGAAGGCGGGUUGCUGGGCCGACACUGACGCUGAUGCGCGAAAGCUAGGGGAGCGAACGGG